GACGAACGCUGGCGGCGUGCUUAACACAUGCAAGUCGAACGGUGAAGCUCCAGCUUGCUGGAGUGGAUCAGUGGCGAACGGGUGAGUAACACGUGAGCAACCUGCCCCUGACUCUGGAAUAAGCGCUGGAAACGGCGUCUAAUACUGGAUACGAGAAGGGUCCGCAUGGGCACUUUCUGGAAAGUUUUUCGGUUGGGGAUGGGCUCGCGGCCUAUCAGCUUGUUGGUGAGGUAAUGGCUCACCAAGGCGACGACGGGUAGCCGGCCUGAGAGGGCGACCGGCCACACUGGGACUGAGACACGGCCCAGCCUCCUACGGCAGGCAGCAGUGGGGAAUAUUGCACAAUGGGCGAACGCCUGAUGCAGCGACGCCGCGUGAGGGAUGACGGCCUUCGGGUUGUAACCCUCUUUCAGCAGGGAAGAAGCGAAAGUGACGGUACCUGCAGAAGAAGCACCGGCUAGCUACGUG
rnacentral:rRNA from 1 species